CACCAGGGGCACCGGAAGGCAGCUCUUUCUUGAUUCGAUGGGAGGUGGUGCAUGACCGUUCGUAGUUGGUGGAGCGAUUUGUCUGGUUAAUUCCGGUAACGAACGAGACCCUAGCCUGCUAAAUAGGCGUCGUCAUUUCGGUGUGCAUGGCAUCGGUCAAGCAACUCACUGACAACGUAUUAAAAUUAUUUUCAAAGGAACUGGCUGUUUUGAGCCGCUAAGAGGGUUUAUUCCCGUUGUCCACGUUGACCUU
rnacentral:ncRNA from 1 species